GAAGAAAGACUAGAAGAGGAGGUGGAGAUCAGUGAUACUUGAGAAAUCUUAGUCUUAAUCAAGACACCCAAGAAUUGUAGGAAGCAUGGACAAAUAUUUUGGAAUUUCCUUCAUGAUACUGUGUUUUCAUUUGGAUUGGGCCAGCAACCAGGAUGCUGUGAAGCAGAAUGUCCUGUCCUUAAGGGUCCUGGCAGGAGAAAGUGUCGCUCUGAACUGUAGUUAUACAGUGGGUGAUCUCAGAAACUUACAGUGGUACAGACAGUAUCCUGGGAAAGACCCCAGAGCCCUGUUUAUGCUUUUUUCAUCUGGGGAGGAGAAGUGGAAAGGAAGAUUAAAAGCCUCAUUAGAUAAGAAGGAAGCUUUCAGCUCCCUGCACAUCAAUGACACUCGACCUGAAGACUCUGCCACCUACUUCUGUGCUGUUGACACACAGCGCUUCUCCAGGCACCUGAAGCCUGUAUACAAAGCUUGCCAAUGGGCCGUUGACAUCAGGGCAGAGGCAUUUGCUACAGUGAUUCUCCCCUUAAAAGAGGACUGUUGAGAUAGGCAGCUUUUAAAUUAAAUUCUCUGGGAUUGAAAGGCAGCUAGAAUUUUAAAAGUUUUGAAUUAUUCAUUCUCCUUACUAUAGCCCCUAUAUCCAAGCUAUUCCUAAUAAAAACA